rnacentral:rRNA from 1 species
GGUAACUUAUUCUACUAAUCAAUAAUAAUGGAUCUAAGAAUCAUAAAUAAAUGUAUAAUAAAUAAUAAAAGUUAAAUAUAUAUCUUUUGUCGCCCCAACAAAAAAGUCUAAUCAACAGCAGUAAAAAUGAAACACAACAGCCAUUAAAAUUGACCAUUAAAGCUCUAUAGGGUCUUCUCGUCUUCCAAAAGAAUUUGAGCCUUUUAACUCAAAAGCUAAAUUUUAACUUAUUUAAUUGAGACAGUUAGAGCCUCGUCAAGCCCUUCAUUCCAGCCCCCUAUUAAAAGACUAAUGAUUAUGCUACCUUUGCACGGUCAAAAUACCGCGGCCGUUAAAUAAUUAUCACCGGGCAGGCUUGACCUCAUAUAAUAAAACAAGAGGAC